UUACUUACCUGGACGGGGUCAAUGGCCGAUCAAGAAGGGCCAUGGCCUGGGCAUGUGGCUUCCAUUGCACUUAGGAAGGGUGUUUGUCCAUGGUCUCCUCAAGUAGGAGAACCAACGUCAUAAUUUGUGACAGUGGGGGCCUGCGUUCGCGCGGCCCCUG